rnacentral:rRNA from 1 species
UACGUAGGGUGCGAGCGUUGUCCGGAAUUAUUGGGCGUAAAGAGCUCGUAGGCGGUCUGUCGCGUCGAAUGUGAAAACCCGGGGCUCAACUCCGGGCUUGCAUUCGAUACGGGCAGGCUAGAGUUCGGUAGGGGAGUCUGGAAUUCCUGGUGUAGCGGUGAAAUGCGCAGAUAUCAGGAGGAACACCGGUGGCGAAGGCGGAUCUCUGGGCCGAUACUGACACUGAGAGACGAAAGCUAGGGGAGCGAAUGGG